ensembl:lncRNA
CUCAGAAACAGUAUAACCUGAGCCUCCAAAGGAAAGAAGAGAAUUAUGGUCAACAGGUAACCCCUAGAACCAGAACUCCAGUGUCUCCUUUGACCCCAGAAGACCAUAACAGCUUCCAACAGAAGAUGGUCAUUUUAUAAAACAAAGGCUGGAAACCUGGUGCUAUGGACUUCUUGUUUGUAUCACCCCAAACUUCAUACACUGAAGCCCAGGAGGCUAUUCUUCGUUCCCUUCCUGAACAUGGGCACCUCAGUAUUUCUCAUUGCUGGGCACCCCUGAACUCCAUGAGAACAUACAAGAUGCUGGUGGAACAGCCCCCCAACUCACUUCUUGGAACUAAUGGAGACCUGUGAGCAGCAAGCAGUUCUUAACUGGAGAAACUGCAUAUCAGCCUAUCAUCACAGGUAUCACAACUGUCACUGGAAAAAGACAAACUGAAGCCAAUUCAUAUCAGAGUCAAAGGAAAUGGGAAGAGAAUUUGACCUACUGAUAAACAGUUCCUGUUUUCACCUUCAGUUUCUAAAUAAACCUUGCUGCAACAUUUCUAGUAAUUCUUCCACUGAAUCUUCCCCUGAAGUGGACCUUGAUUUAAGGAAAUAUUAGAUCUACAAGGCACCUUUCCAUUCCUCUUUCUAUCCUGUGAAUUUUCUGCCAUAGGCAGGACCUUCCAAGUUUCUUAAGAGAGCCAGGCAGAAGGCAGGGCAGGGAUUGAGAAGCAGACUGAAGAAAACAAAAAUAAGUAAAAUUUAUUGGAUGUGAUUAAAUUUCCCUUGUAAAGACAGAAAGAAAAAUAGUAACAACUGUGUUUGUUUUUUUCCUUCAAGUUAAUGGAAUUCUAAUGACCACCUUUUGCUAUAGAUCCUAAUCAGAACAACAGAGGGAGGUAUGUUUCCAUUUCUCUCUUCAAGGAAUCUCUAAGACUCCAGGUUUUGCUGAGGUGAGACAAUUUGGUGUUGCCAUGAUAACACAAAUUCUUCUUGGUGUCUCUUGCUUUGUUCUAUCAUUUUACUUUUGCCUUGCUCCCCCAAAAUGGAUGGAAACCAGAUUUAAGCAUGGCCACUUGGGAAAAGCCCCAGCAAGAUGGUAGGUGCUGGAGUAGCAGCUGCGCAGUGCUGGAGCGACUGUGAGGAGAUACCCCACAUCCAAGGGCAAAGGAGAAGCCACAGCUUCUCCUGGGGUAGGAUGGUAGGAGGGGUGAAAUUGCGUUUAGAAUCAAACCCCGUACCUGCCAAAGAUGCUCAGAGGGCUGAGACAAACCUUCUGUGCACCAGGACCCAGGGACCCCACAAAGACUGAGAUAGAACUGUGUUUGAGUGUCUCCUGGGGAGGUACAGGUCAGCAGUGGACUGCCCUGGGGGCAGGGGCUCGGGGUGCAGCAGACCUGGUGUGGCAUAAGCCCUCUUGGAGGAGGUCGCCAUUGACCCCACCCACAGAGCCCCCAGAACUUACACAGGACUGGGGAAACAGACUUUGGAGGGCACAAACAGAACCUUGUGUGCACCAGGACCCAGGAGAAAGGAGCAGUGACCCCACAAGAGACUGACCCAGACUUGCCCAUGAGUGUCCAGGAGUCUCUGACAAAGGCGUGGGUCAGUGGUGGCCUGCUGUAGGGUUAGGGGCAUGGAGUGAGGCAGUCCCUGCAUGGGACAUUUUGAAGGAGGUCGCCAUUAUUUUCAUCACCUCCACCAUAGUUUCAGUUCAGUCAGUCAGUUCAGUUGCUCAGUCAUGUCUGAUUCUUUGUGAUCCCAUGAAUUGCAGCACGCCAGGCCUCCCUGUCCAUCACCAACUCCCAGAUUUCACUCAGACUCACGUC